UUCGUGGUCGCAUUUUAACUGUAAUAACUGUCUCCGUGGGAGACAAGUGCGGCAGCUGUAUGGAGGCAAAUCUACCUCCAUACAGCUGUGGCCACACAUUUGGAGGCGAAAAUACCUAGAGGGAGCAAGAGAGUCUGGAGACGAGCCGCGCAGGGUACAGUGAGAGAGAGGCGGGCUCAGGGCUGCAGCCAGACUAGGGAGCGGGAACGUUAGACAGUAAAAAACCUUCCAGAAGCUUCCAAAAGGUGUUGGAGACGAGUCCAGUGCGUAUUGAGUCAAGGAGAGGAACGUUUCCUGACGAUCCAACGUACGAUAACGAGGGAGAUGCGGAUCAUACAGGAUCAUUCCAACAAACCAUGGGACAACCCAACGUACAGGAGAGAGGGCGGAUAUACCGAAGCGUUCCAACCUUCUACAACCUUUGGAAAGAGAGUCUGACCAACCCCAAGUGGCCUUAAACCAGACCCCGGUUCUACCUGGGCUGGCUGGCGGCCGACGCCACUCCGGACCUCCGCAGGUGCCAUUCUGAAGCGUUCCAACAUGCUCUUCAAAGCACUGGAUGAUCCAACGUCCGGGGGCGAAGGCGGGGCAGGUGCCAUACCGAAGCGUUCCAACUUACUUCUACAACCUUUGGACAAUCCAACGUCCGAGAACGAAGGUGGGGCAGGUGCCAACCGGAGCAUUCCAACGAACCAUUGGACG